ACGGAGGAUGCAAGCGUUAUCCGGAUUCAUUGGGUUUAAAGGGUGCGUAGGCGGCUUUUUAAGUCAGUGGUGAAAUCCUGUCGCUCAACGAUAGAAUUGCCAUUGAUACUGAAGAGCUUGAGUACAAUUGAGGUAAGCGGAAUGUGUAGUGUAGCGGGGAAAUGCUGUGUUACUGCCCAUAACACCAGUGGGGGUGGGAGGUGAAUAAGCUGAUACACACGCGGAUGCACGAACGCGUGUGGAGCGAAAAG
rnacentral:rRNA from 1 species